rnacentral:rRNA from 1 species
GUGCCAGCAGCCGCGGUAAUACGUAGGGGGCAAGCGUUGUCCGGAAUUAUUGGGCGUAAAGCGCGCGCAGGCGGCUUCUUAAGUCAGGUGUGAAAGCCCACGGCUCAACCGUGGAGGGCCAUCUGAAACUGGGGAGCUUGAGUGCAGGAGAGGAGAGCGGAAUUCCACGUGUAGCGGUGAAAUGCGUAGAGAUGUGGAGGAACACCCGUGGCGAAGGCGGCUCUCUGGCCUGUAACUGACGCUGAGGCGCGAAAGCGUGGGGAGCAAACAGGAUUAGAUACCCCAGUAGUCC